GGUCAAUUAGCUCAGUUGGUUAGAGCGCGCGAUUCACAUUCGCGAGGUCACAAGUUCGAGUCUUGUAUUGACCACCA
rnacentral:tRNA from 15 species